GAUGAACGCUGGCGGCGUGCCUAAUACAUGCAAGUCGAGCGAACAGACGAGGAGCUUGCUCCUCUGACGUUAGCGGCGGACGGGUGAGUAACACGUGGAUAACCUACCUAUAAGACUGGGAUAACUUCGGGAAACCGGAGCUAAUACCGGAUAAUAUAUUGAACCGCAUGGUUCAAUAGUGAAAGACGGUUUUGCUGUCACUUAUAGAUGGAUCCGCGCCGCAUUAGCUAGUUGGUAAGGUAACGGCUUACCAAGGCAACGAUGCGUAGCCGACCUGAGAGGGUGAUCGGCCACACUGGAACUGAGACACGGUCCAGACUCCUACGGGAGGCAGCAGUAGGGAAUCUUCCGCAAUGGGCGAAAGCCUGACGGAGCAACGCGGCGUGAGUGAUGAAGGUCUUCGGAUCGUAAAACUCUGUUAUUAGGGAAGAACAAAUGUGUAAGUAACUAUGCACGUCUGGACAGUACCUAAUCAGAAAGCCACGGCUAACUACGU
rnacentral:rRNA from 1 species